UUUAUAUAUAUCUGGUGUCCAAAUACCUGGAUGUUGUGGCGGGUAUUUCAUGUCAGUGCAGUUUAAUCUGAUUUAUAUAUAUCUGGUAUCCAAAUACCUGGAUGGUCUGGCGGGUAUUUCAUGUCAGUGUAGUUUAAUCUGAUUUAUAUAUAUCUGGUAUCCAAAUACCUGGAUGGUCUGGCGGGUAUUUCAUGUCAGUGCAGUUUAAUCUGAUUUAUAUAUAUCUGGUAUCCAAAUACCUGGUUGGUCUGGCAGGUAUUUCAUGUUAGUUUAGUUUAAUCUGAUUUAUUUCACUGCUACUGCUUCUAAAUGGAUUGCCUGUGACUGAUGCAACAAGUGGUUCCACCAUUCAUGUGUCGGAAACUCACCUGAAGAGGAGGAGUUCCUUUGCCCUUUGUGCAAGAUAUAAGACAGCCCCUACCAACUAACUCAUCCGCUGACCCUGCUUUUAAAUGUCAUUGCUACCACUGUUUUCCAACAACUCUAAUCAGA